rnacentral:rRNA from 1 species
UUGAAAAAUUAGCGGAUGACUUGUGGCUGGGGGUGAAAGGCCAAUCAAACCGGGAGAUAGCUGGUUCUCCCCGAAAGCUAUUUAGGUAGCGCCUCGUGAAUUCAUCUCCGGGGGUAGAGCACUGUUUCGGCAAGGGGGUCAUCCCGACUUACCAACCCGAUGCAAACUGCGAAUACCGGAGAAUGUUAUCACGGGAGACACACGGCGGGUGCUAACGUCCGUCGUGAAGAGGGAAACAACCCAGACCGCCAGCUAAGGUCCCAAAGUCAUGGUUAAGUGGGAAACGAUGUGGGAAGGCCCAGACAGCCAGGAUGUUGGCUUAGAAGCAGCCAUCAUUUAAAGAAAGCGUAAUAGCUCACUGGUCGAGUCGGCCUGCGCGGAAGAUGUAACGGGGCUAAACCAUGCACCGAAGCUGCGGCAGCGACGCUUAUGCGUUGUUGGGUAGGGGAGCGUUCUGUAAGCCUGUGAAGGUGUGCUGUGAGGCAUGCUGGAGGUAUCAGAAGUGCGAAUGCUGACAUAAGUAACGAUAAAGCGGGUGAAAAGCCCGCUCGCCGGAAGACCAAGGGUUCCUGUCCAACGUUAAUCGGGGCAGGGUGAGUCGACCCCUAAGGCGAGGCCGAAAGGCGUAGUCGAUGGGAAACAGGUUAAUAUUCCUGUACUUGGUGUUACUGCGAAGGGGGGACGGAGAAGGCUAUGUUGGCCGGGCGACGGUUGUCCCGGUUUAAGCGUGUAGGCUGGUUUUCCAGGCAAAUCCGGAAAAUCAAGGCUGAGGCGUGAUGACGAGGCACUACGGUGCUGAAGCAACAAAUGCCCUGCUUCCAGGAAAAGCCUCUAAGCAUCAGGUAACAUCAAAUCGUACCCCAAACCGACACAGGUGGUCAGGUAGAGAAUACCAAGGCGCUUGAGAGAACUCGGGUGAAGGAACUAGGCAAAAUGGUGCCGUAACUUCGGGAGAAGGCACGCUGAUAUGUAGGUGAAGUCCCUCGCGGAUGGAGCUGAAAUCAGUCGAAGAUACCAGCUGGCUGCAACUGUUUAUUAAAAACACAGCACUGUGCAAACACGAAAGUGGACGUAUACGGUGUGACGCCUGCCCGGUGCCGGAAGGUUAAUUGAUGGGGUCAGCGCAAGCGAAGCUCUUGAUCGAAGCCCCGGUAAACGGCGGCCGUAACUAUAACGGUCCUAAGGUAGCGAAAUUCCUUGUCGGGUAAGUUCCGACCUG